rnacentral:lncRNA from 10 species
UGAUAGUGAAAGAGGAAAUAGAGGGUGGCAUAGUUAAGGUAUGAUCAGACAGGUGGUUUUAGGCUUAUUUUUUCCUUGAAAAAAUGUACUUGACAGUCAGUUUACUGUAAUAUUGCCCAACAGGAACAACGGAGGCAUUGGACUCAUUUCUCUACAAAGAGAACUCUUUACAGUUCAGAAUUUUGCUUAUAAUGACAGACCUAAAUUAAUACCAGUAAUUACAUUAUAACUUAACAGGAGGAAGAUUAUAGAUGCUAAAAUGCAGCAUAACAAACAAAAUUAAAACAGACAAAAAGGGGUUGAGAAGAGAAACUUCCAAAGGGUAAAAAAGACACCACAACUUUUUUACUUAUACUUUCUAUUUUUAUUAUUAUACUUUAAGUUCUAGG